rnacentral:sRNA from 1 species
AAACAUGCCGCGGGGCACCUCCAGCCCCUCCCAUCUCAGGGACGUGGCGGUGAAGGCACAGUCUCGGCUAUGGUCCCAGGAAACAGACAGUGGGGCCUCCACCCUUCCUUCCCCGUUUGGAUUAAGGGGCUCCUGGCUGGAACACCUCACAGGACUGGCCCCAUCUGGGGCCCCCCUCUGGGACCCACCUCACACGCGUGGUGCGUUUGUUUGUGGCUGCUCCCAUUCCUAUAACCUCCGAGACCUUCACUCCUAGGAAUGUCCCAAGGCCAAUUCCCUUGGCAGCAAUGAGAAGAAAUGCCCUUUUCCAAAUAGCGACUUCUGCAAAACCCGCUGUUGUUUGUGGGUUCCAGCUUCCUGGGGCCUGGAACUUUCCCUGAGUCCUUCCCACCCACCACGCCCAGCACCCCAACCCUUGCUGAGUUCACCCCGGGGCCACCCCCCAUCUCCUACCAGUCUGACAUUCCCAGCAGCCUCCUGACUUCAGAGAAGUCUACCGCCUGCCUCCCAGGCCAGAUGGCACCAGCAGGUCACCUGGACCCCACUCACAAUCCUGGGACACCAGGACUACACACCUCCAACGUUGGGGCCCCUCCAGGUCCCCAGCUGCACCAUUCAAACCCUCCCCCAGCGUCCCGGCAGUCCUUGGGCCAAGCGAGCUUAGGACCUACGGGUGAACUGGCCUUCAGUCCUGCCACAGGCGUGAUGGGGCCCCCCAGCAUGUCUGGAGCCGGGGAGGCCCCAGAACCAGCUCUGGACCUGCUCCCGGAACUGACCAACCCUGAUGAGCUACUGUCCUACUUGGGCCCACCCGACCUCCCUACGAACAACAAUGACGACCUGCUUUCUCUGUUUGAGAAC